CUCUGUUCACGGAAAGGGCCUGGGAGCUGCAACACCUCAACAGCAACAAGCACACCUGCUACCUAGAACUUGGUUUCUAAAAACCAUCCUCCUCUAAAAGGAAACAGAGCUCUUUGAAGAAACGCAGAAGGUAAGCAUGAGCAAAUUACUUUUUAGAGGUAACUUUGCUGAACUUGUGAAGAAUGGUGUGCAAGGUCCAGAGCGACUGCAGGAGAGGGAAGGUGGGAUUCCCACAGAGCAGGAGCACAGAUAAGCCAAGCAAGGCCCUGCUUGGAAGGCAGCAAUCAACAGAGAUGCACAGACCUGUGAGGGUGCCGGGACAGCCAUGCAACAAUGCAGCCCUUUUGCUUCCUGAGCUCACCAGUUCCCUCGCUCCACCUCUGAGAGGUGGUUUGGAGAAACACAGCCCUUCUCAAGAGGGCUGCAAGCUACUUAAGUCCUGAAAAUUUCCACAAGGCUGAGUCAAAUCUGCGUUUCAUCAUCUAUAAGAAAGGUACCUAUCGAGAACACCCUGCUGGCCAGUGUGUAAAUAUCUAAAGGAGGACUCAGAAAACACCGGGGAAGUCCAGCCUGCACGUGGUGGCUGGGCUUCAGUGAAGCAUGCAGCACAACAGGAGUUAGCAGCCAUGCACUGCCCAGGCUGGAAGUAUGCUCAACCACAAGGGUCAGGGCUGGGAGAGGCGCUUCGGUAGC
rnacentral:lncRNA from 10 species